rnacentral:rRNA from 1 species
GAUGAACGCUAGCGAUAGGCUUAACACAUGCAAGUCGAGGGGCAGCAUGGUCUUAGCUUGCUAAGACUGAUGGCGACCGGCGCACGGGUGCGUAACGCGUAUGCAACUUGCCUCACAGAGGGGGAUAACCCGUCGAAAGACGGACUACUACUGCGUACACUCCAUCUUGGGCAUCCAAGGUAGAGGAAAUGAAAUUCGCUGUGAGAUAGGCAUGCGUCCUAUUAGCUAGUUGGUGAGGUAACGACUCACCAAGGCGACGAUGGGUAAGGGAACGGAGAGGUUGACCCCCCACACGGGUACUGAGACCCCGACCAGAGUCCUACGGGAGGCAGAAGUGAGGAAUAUUAGUCAGUGGGCGAGAGCCUGACCCAGCCAAGUCGCGUGAAGGAUGACUGUCUUAUGGAUUGUAAUCUUCUUUUAUACGGGAAUAACAAGAGUCACGUGUGACUCCCUGCAUGUACCGUAUGAAUAAGCAUCGGCUAACUCCGUG